UAGCUUUGUCCUAAGCUAAACUUAUCUAACUUUGAACAAGUUUUUUAGAAAAAAGUAUAUAUUAACGUCUAGAAAUUCAAUUAAAUGUGUUGUCAACAUAUUUCAUGGAAAAUAUAAAGAAACUAGUUUGAUGUUGUAGAUCUUGGUGGAUUUUUCUAUUAACUUGGUCAACAAUUAGAGAAGUUUGGCUUAGGAGAAAGCUAA
rnacentral:pre_miRNA from 1 species